rnacentral:tRNA from 1 species
GAGGGUAUAACUCAGUGGUAGAGUCCGUGCUUAGCAUGCAUGAGGUCCUGAGUUCAAUCUUCAGUACCUCCA